CCAGCUCCUGGCCGCGAGUGAUCCGC
rnacentral:piRNA from 1 species